rnacentral:lncRNA from 1 species
GGGAAAAUUCUCACAGAAAAAGGUGAUGCGCUUCAAGUCCAAAGCAAGAGCAGCAUUAAGUCCUUCAAUCAAGGCUUUCAACAGGGCACCAUUCUUGCUCUUCCCAUUCCCAAUCAGGGGUUUUCAAACCUCGAACACCAAAUUAUCCCUGGAGUCGCAUAGAGCAACCCCAACCCCAGCCAGCACCACUCUCUCAUUUCCAACCAUUUCCUCGCUCACCAAACCCUUGAAGUAGAGCCUGAACACUCUUUCACUUUCGACCCUCUUCGUCGACGACGAUGAGGAGGAGCCUUCACCGAAGGGUUUGGCGAAGAGUUCGCCAGACUCUUGCCACUCGUCCUAUGGAAUCUUCAUGAUCUCCCUCGCGACCUGAUCAUCGUGAAUCUGACGGUUGAGAUCCUCUCUGGCUUUCCGCAUUUCGAUUUCGCGGUCUUUCAAUUCCUGCUCCAUUCUUAUGAGUUCUUCGGACUUGGGUUCUACUUCAUUCGCUAUUAACAAGACGGCACACGCAAGACAAAAGAUGUCAAAUCAGGCCCUUGAAAGGUGUAGAUGAAGCCUUUUCCUUGGGUUGGGGUGUUGAGGAUGGUCCGAAUGGUGACAUUUGUGUGUGUGGGGGGGGGGGGGUGUGGGUUGGGUUGGGUAGAGGAGGAAGAUGGUCGAGAAUCCCAUUGCAGAUCGGUCUCUUGAUCUUGGAUCGAUGAUCGCAGAUCUGGCAACGUGUCGUCGUUGCUGCGGAGAGAGAGAGAGAGAGAGAGAUCGAUCUGAUAAACUCUCCCAGGUGCACUACAACAUGCACGUUACAUCAUCAAUAAUGUAAUCCAACCGUUUCAGAGUUUUAUUCUUCAGUAUGUAGAACAUCUAUCGCUUGGAACAUUAGUAGCUGGUCUCAUAGUAAGUCUUGUUAAUUACCGACAUGUACUUCUUUUGCUGAUCUAUGUGUCUUUCAUUGUUUUCCUGUAUGGUUUUACGGACACAUGAAUUUUUCAUCGCAAAACGAUUUGCAUCCUUGAACAAAAAUUGAUUAGUCUUGUUUCGUAUUAGCCUGAAAGCAGGGGAAUUCUGCAGUUUGAAGAUUGCUUUCAGCUUCCAAAAUUAAAAGACGAAGAUGUUCUAAUAUUUCUUCAACAUGUCUAUAUUUGACCUCCAGGUGAUGCAAUGAAGGAUGAAUUUCUUCCAAAGGCUUUGAAACAGUAGCCAGAGAUGACUUCAAUUUUCUUAGAUUUUCUAAGAUUGUUGCCUCCAUUGGUAGGUUGAUUGCAGAAUUGUAAGUAAACAACAGAGGUAGUAAGAAGACCAUGAAGAAGGAGAAGUGGUCGUCGUCAGUACUCGGCUGCGGCAGUAGCACUCCAGUAAGUGGCAACAUGUUUGAGUUCGAAUAAAAAUUAAAAUUGUAAAUUGAUAUUUGUAGUAGAGACACGUUAAUGGUUCAUCAUGGUCCUUUUUUUAUUUAUUGAAGUGCAUCAUCAACUUUUGAAUUGCUUGAAUAAGUACAAAUAAGCUUUAUAUUUAUCACGUAGAUCGUGAUACUGAAGAGGCAAAUCGAAUUCAAAAUGAGGAGGAGAACAAAAGUGGCGAGGAGAGUAAAAGUGAGGAAGGGAGUGAAGACGAGUAGCUAAUUUAUGUUAAUUUUAGAAUCGUGAGGCAAAAUACUUACACACUCAAACUCUAUGAUAGACUUGGUUUGUAAUUGUUCUACAUUAAAUUGACUAGGGUUGUCUUCGGUAACAGAGAAGAGACUACUGGUGCCAAGAACAUGGGACAUGCUUCUUGCGGAUGUGAUGAGUUUCUAGGGGACACGAGGUGCACCGAGAUUGCAG